rnacentral:misc_RNA from 1 species
GAUGAAGAACGUAGCGAAAAGCGAUACGUAAUGUGAAUUGCAGAAUUCAGUGAAUCAUCGAGUCUUUGAACGCACAUUGCGCCCCCUGGUAUUCCGGGGGGCAUGCCUGUCCGAGCGUCAUUGCUGCCCUCAAGCACGGCUUGUGUGUUGGGCCUCCGUCCUCCUCCCGGGGGACGGGCCCGAAAGGCAGCGGCGGCACCGCGUCCGGUCCUCGAGCGUAUGGGGCUUCGUCACCCGCUCUUGUAGGCCCGGCCGGCGCUUGCCGACACAUCAAUCUUUUUUCCAGGUUGACCUCGGAUCAGGUAGGGAUACCCGCUGAACUUAAGCAUAUCAAUAAGCGGAGGA